GGAUCUUUUAUCUAGGAUUUACUUUGUGAAAACUUAUGCCUUUUAGAGAUCUUAAAUUAAAUUUACAAUGCAUCUGGAAACAAGAAAUGGUGUUUUUCCUGACCACUAGAGAAGAAUGGGGGGCUCUCAGCCCCCUCGAGCCGCCGAUCCCCCUAAAACUACCUGUGAGGGACAUUGUUUUAACCUAUGUGAGGAACUGGAGUGGUUAUAUUGAGGAUGACCACAUAGACUACACUGGUCAAGUCCAGGCUCUACAACGACGACAAAUAGAGGAGAAAAAACUGAGCGAUAUUAAAUACAAGUAAGUUUCUUAGUGACGCCCCAAGGACAGACCUACGAGUGUCGAGGAUGGCAUGGAGCUGUUCCUGCACCUAAACACAGACCCGAGUGGUCCAACAACGUAUUGGUGAUAGCUCAACUAAACUGGAGAGUCGCUGAUGGAUAUUUUCGUCCCAUGAUCCAAGCUAUAUAUGAGCUCGUCAGAUUUGGUGUCAUGGUGGGCUAUAUUAAGAAGAGACACCAGUUUUUGGAAACCAAACCAUGGAGAUGCCCGAAAGUGAUUCCUAAACUACAGUAGAUUUUUAAUAAUUUAGGUACUGAUUGCUGAUUUUGUUCUAGUUUGGGUUGUUUAAUUCUUUGCUUAGCAAGAACGAAGUUACAUUUACAUACUGCUAUUUCAUGUACUCAAAGAGAAGGUAUAGAGGGAACAUGCUAAUGGGACGACUGUGCGGUUUCAAUUCUGGUAUGUUUUGUCUGAAAUUUACUUGUGAAAGGAGCAAAGAAGAGUCCGAGAGGCGAGCACUAUGCGGAAAUUCCUAUCGUACAAAGCAAAGGGUCUUUCUGAGCGUUGUUAUGUUACAUGAGGGCGAUGGAGGCGGUGUUAGAUUUUGCCCUAGACACCAGUGACUGGUGCUAGACACCAGUGACAAGCAUAGACACCAGUGAAUAGUGCUAUACACCACUUAAGCGUACCAUUGAAUGUUUCCUCUGCAUCUUACUUCACUAUGAUAUACCUUAUGACUAACUAAACCACAUAACGUACACUAAUUGUAACUGUUGUGCAAAUAUAUUUCUUAACAGUAAUAAGAGUACUUUAUUUAAGUAUUCUCUUUUUAUAACUAGAAUAGAAUCAAUAAUUCUUGUAUGCU